rnacentral:rRNA from 1 species
GAUGAACGCUGGCGGCGUGCUUAGCACAUGCAAGUCGAACGAAGCACUUUAUUUUAUUUCCUUCGGGACUGAUUCUUUUGUGACUGAGUGGCGGACGGGUGAGUAACGCGUGGGUAACCUGCCUUGUACAGGGGGAUAAUAGUUGGAAACGGCUGCUAAUACCGCAUAAGCGCACGGCGUCGCAUGCUGCCGUGUGAAAAGCUCCGGGGGUAUAAGAUGGACCCGGGUUGGUUUAGCUGGUUGGUGAGGUAACGGCCCACCAAGGCGACGAUCCAUAGCCGACCGGAUGACGUGACAGGCCACGUCUGGACUGAGACACAGCCCCAACUCCGACGCGAGGCAGCAGUAUAUAAUAUUGCAGGAGGGACGAAAGCCUGAUGCAGCGGCGCCGGGGAAGCGAAGAAGUAUUUCGGUAUGUAAAGCCCUAUCAGCAGGGAAGAUAAUGGCGGUACCUGACGAAGAAGCACCGGCUAAAUACGUG